GAUGAACGCUAGCUACAGGCUUAACACAUGCAAGUCGCGGGGCAGCAUGUUGGUUGCUUGCAACCGAUGAUGGCGACCGGCGCACGGGUGAGUAACGCGUAUCCAACCUACCUAUUACCACGGGAUAACCCGGCGAAAGUCGGACUAAUACCGUAUGUAGUCCUCCAAUGGCAUCAGCAGUGGACUAAAGGUUUGGCGGUAAUGGAUGGGGAUGCGUCCGAUUAGCUAGUUGGUGAGGUAAUGGCUCCCCAAGGCUUCGAUCGGUAGGGGUUCUGAGAGGAAGGUCCCCCACACUGGAACUGAGACACGGUCCAGACUCCUACGGGAGGCAGCAGUGAGGAAUAUUGGUCAAUGGACGAGAGUCUGAACCAGCCAAGUAGCGUGCAGGAUGACUGCCCUAUGGGUUGUAAACUGCUUUUAUGCGGGGAUAAAGUGGGGAACGUGUUCU
rnacentral:rRNA from 1 species